GCCGGGGUGCCCGAGCGGACCAAGGGGGUGGGCUCGAGACCCACUGUCCUCCAAGGACACACGGGUUCAAAUCCCGUCCCCGGCG
rnacentral:tRNA from 1 species